rnacentral:tRNA from 1 species
GACCGCGUAGCUCAGUUGGCAAAGCGUUGAGCUAGUAUUCCAAAGGUGUAGGUUCGAUUCCCAUCGUGGUCA